GACGAACGCUGGCGGCGCGCUUAACACAUGCAAGUCGAACGGAAAGGCCUGCUUUCCCUUGUGGAUUGCGGGUACUCGAGUGGCGAACGGGUGAGUAACACGUGAGUGAUCUGCCCCCAACUUGGGUAUAAGCCUGGGAAACUGGGUCUAAUUCCCGAUAGGACUGCAGGGUGGUGCCUGUGGUGGAAAACGAUUUUCUAGUGGUUGGGGAUGAGCUCGCGGCCUAUCAGCUUGUUGGUGGGGUAAUGGCCUACCAAGGCGGCGACGGGUAGCCGGCCUGAGAGGGUGGACGGCCACAUUGGGACUGAGAUACGGCCCAGACUCCUACGGGAGGCAGCAGUGGGGAAUAUUUCACAAUGGGCGGAAGCCUGAUGCAGCGACGCCGCGUGGGGGAUGACGGCCUUCGGGUUGUAAACUCCUUUCGACCGCGAGGAAGCCACCUGGUUGGAAGGGUGGUGACGGUAGUGGUAGAAGAAGCACCGGCUAACUACGUG
rnacentral:rRNA from 1 species